rnacentral:rRNA from 1 species
UACGUAGGGUGCGAGCGUUGUCCGGAAUUAUUGGGCGUAAAGAGCUUGUAGGCGGUUUGUCGCGUCUGCUGUGAAAAUCCGGGGCUCAACCCCGGACUUGCAGUGGGUACGGGCAGACUAGAGUGUGGUAGGGGAGACUGGAAUUCCUGGUGUAGCGGUGGAAUGCGCAGAGAUCAGGAGGAAUACCGAAGGCGAAGGCAGUCUUCCAAGCCGUUAUUGACGCUCAACUGCGAAGGUGUGGGUAUCAAACAGGAUUAGAUACCCGCGUAGUCCCU